GGGACAGGAAGCAGCUUGCUGCUUCGCUGACGAGUGGCGGACGGGUGAGUAAUGUCUGGGAAGCCGCCUGAUGGAGGGGGAUAACUACUGGAAACGGUAGCUAAUACCGCAUAAUGUCGCAAGACCAAAGAGGGGGACCUUCGGGCCUCUUGCCAUCGGAUGUGCCCAGAUGGGAUUAGCUUGUUGGUGGGGUAACGGCUCACCAAGGCGACGAUCCCUAGCUGGUCUGAGAGGAUGACCAGCCACACUUGGAACUGAGACACGGUCCAGACUCCUACGGGAGGCAGCAGUGGGGAAUAUUGCACAAUGGGCGCAAGCCUGAUGCAGCCAUGCCGCGUGUAUGAAGAAGGCCUUCGGGUUGUAAAGUACUUUCAGCGGGGAGGAAGGGAGUAAAGUAAUACCUUUGCUCAUUGACGUACCCGAGAAGAAGCACCGGCUUACUCCGUGCCAGCAGCCGCGGUAAUACCGGAGGGUGCAAGCGUUAAUCGGAAUUACUGGGCGUAAGGAAGAAGCCGGUUGUAAGCAAAUGAAUCCGGCUAACA
rnacentral:rRNA from 2 species